rnacentral:misc_RNA from 1 species
AAGUCGUAACAAGGUCUCCGUAGGUGAACCUGCGGAGGGAUCAUUACCGAGUUGUCGAAAGACAAUCUCCCGUUCUUGAUGUGUGACUAUUGUUGCCUUGCCUUCGGGCAGGAUAAAUUCUGAAUCAGUGUUGUCUGAGAACUUUUUAAUCAAUUAAAACUUUCAACAACGGAUCUCUUGGUUCUG